rnacentral:ncRNA from 2 species
CUAAAUAUGUGCGGGGCAGGUCCCCAACGGGGGAUAAUAGGGAAGACCGGGGAGCAGGUGGACCCUGCUUAAGCCGGCGCGGUCCCGCCACUGUAACCGGGGAGGAACCCGCAAGGUGCCACUGGCCCUGCACUCACUGAUGAGCUGCUACAUCCAAUGGGACGCUUGUUCAUAACGACACGGUUUAACGAUGUCACUGGUGAGUGCUGGACCGGGAAGGCGCGGGCAUCCAAAGAUCCGGGAGCCAGGAGACCUGCCUGCCCCUUUCACUGGAA